rnacentral:rRNA from 1 species
GCAAGACCAAAGAGGGGGACCUUCGGGCCUCUUGCCAUCGGAUGUGCCCAGAUGGGAUUAGCUUGUUGGUGGGGUAACGGCUCACCAAGGCGACGAUCCCUAGCUGGUCUGAGAGGAUGACCAGCCACACUGGAACUGAGACACGGUCCAGACUCCUACGGGAGGCAGCAGUGGGGAAUAUUGCACAAUGGGCGCAAGCCUGAUGCAGCCAUGC